rnacentral:rRNA from 1 species
AACGAACGCUGGCGGCAGGCCUAACACAUGCAAGUCGAGCGAGGACUUCGGUCCUAGCGGCGGACGGGUGAGUAACGCGUGGGAACGUGCCCUUUGGUACGGAAUAGCCCCGGGAAACUGGGAGUAAUACCGUAUGGUGUCUUCGGACUAAAGAUUUAUCGCCAAAGGAUCGGCCCGCGUUGGAUUAGGUAGUUGGUGGGGUAAUGGCCUACCAAGCCGACGAUCCAUAGCUGGUUUGAGAGGAUGAUCAGCCACACUGGGACUGAGACACGGCCCAGACUCCUACGGGAGGCAGCAGUGGGGAAUCUUAGACAAUGGGGGCAACCCUGAUCUAGCCAUGCCGCGUGAGUGAUGAAGGCCCUAGGGUUGUAAAGCUCUUUCAGCUGGGAAGAUAAUGACGGUACCAGCAGAAGAAGCCCCGGCUAACUUCGUG